rnacentral:rRNA from 1 species
UACGUGAGGGUGCGAGCGUUGUCCGGAAUUAUUGGGCGUAAAGGGCUCGUAGGCGGUCUGUCACGUCGGGAGUGAAAACUCGGGGCUUAACCCCGAGCCUGCUUCCGAUACGGGCAGACUAGAGGUAUGCAGGGGAGAACGGAAUUCCUGGUGUAGCGGUGAAAUGCGCAGAUAUCAGGAGGAACACCAAUGGCGAAGGCAGCACUCUGGGACGGUACUGACGCUGAGACGCGAAAGCGUGGGGGAGCAAAACAGG